GUCGAGCGGAACGAGUUAUCUGAACCUUCGGGGAACGAUAACGGCGUCGAGCGGCGGACGGGUGAGUAAUGCCUAGGAAAUUGCCCUGAUGUGGGGGAUAACCAUUGGAAACGAUGGCUAAUACCGCAUAAUGCCUACGGGCCAAAGAGGGGGACCUUCGGGCCUCUCGCGUCAGGAUAUGCCUAGGUGGGAUUAGCUAGUUGGUGAGGUAAUGGCUCACCAAGGCGACGAUCCCUAGCUGGUCUGAGAGGAUGAUCAGCCACACUGGAACUGAGACACGGUCCAGACUCCUACGGGAGGCAGCAGUGGGGAAUAUUGCACAAUGGGCGCAAGCCUGAUGCAGCCAUGCCGCGUGUGUGAAGAAGGCCUUCGGGUUGUAAAGCACUUUCAGUCGUGAGGAAGGUGGUGUAGUUAAUAGCUGCAUUACUUGACGUUAGCGACAGAAGAAGCACCGGCUAACUCCGUGCCAGCAGCCGCGGUAAUACGGAGGGUGCGAGCGUUAAUCGGAAUUACUGGGCGUAAAGCGCAUGCAGGUGGUUUGUUAAGUCAGAUGUGAAAGCCCGGGGCUCAACCUCGGAAUAGCAUUUGAAACUGGCAGACUAGAGUACUGUAGAGGGGGGUAGAAUUUCAGGUGUAGCGGUGAA
rnacentral:rRNA from 1 species